rnacentral:rRNA from 1 species
CCUACGGGUGGCAGCAGUGGGGAAUAUUGGGCAAUGGGCGCAAGCCUGACCCAGUAACGCCGCGUGAAGGAAGAAGGCUUUCGGGUUGUAAACUUCUUUUGUCAGGGAAGAGUAGAAGACGGUACCUGACGAAUAAGCCACGGCUAACUACGUGCCAGCAGCCGCGGUAAUACGUAGGUGGCAAGCGUUGUCCGGAUUUACUGGGUGUAAAGGGCGUGUAGCCGGGUUGACAAGUCAGAUGUGAAAUCCUGCGGCUUAACCGCAGAACUGCAUUUGAAACUGUUGAUCUUGAGUACUGGAGAGGAUAGUGGAAUUCCAGGUGUAGGAGUGAAAUCCGUAGAUAUCUGGAGGAACAUCAGUGGCGAAGGCGACUAUCUGGCACAUAACUGACGCUGAGGAGCGAAAGCGUGGGUAGCAAACAGGAUUAGAUACCCCAGUAGUC